UAUACGAGACGCUGGCGGCGUGCCUUACACAUGCGUCGAGCGGUACAGUCUUCUGAUGCUGACUAGUGGCGAACGGGUGAGUAUUACAUCAAAACGUGCCUCCUAUUGGGGGAUUUCUACUCUCAAGAGUGGCUAAUACCCCAUGAGAUCUACGGAUGAAACCAGGGGAUCACAAGACCUUGUGCUCUUUUCGCGGCCCAUGGGGGUUAGCUUUUUGGCGUAAUAAAAUCUUAUCAAGGCCACGAUCUGUAACUGGUCUGAGAGGAAAAUCAACCACACUGCGCCUGAGAUGCGGCCCAAACUCCUACCGGACCCGGCACUGAGGAAUUUUGGAGAAUGGGGGCAAGCCUGAUCCAACCCUGCCCCGUGCAGGAUGAAGGCCGUCGGGUUGUAAACUGCUUUUGUCCUCUUUUAAAGCCCUGGGUUAAUACCCUGGGGUCAUGACUGUACCGUACCAUAAACACCGGCUAACUACAUGCCCGCCCCCCCCGCUAUAU
rnacentral:rRNA from 1 species